AUACGGAGGAUCCAAGCGUUAUCCGGAUUUAUUGGGUUUAAAGGGUGCGUAGGCGGACUGGUAAGUCAGCUGUGAAAGUUUGCGGCUUAACCGUAAAAUUGCAGUUGAUACUGUCAGUCUUGAGUGUGCAUGAGGUGGGCGGAAUUUGUGGUGUAGCGGUGAAAUGCUUAGAUAUCACGAGGAACUCCAAUUGCGAAGGCAGCUCACUGGGGCAUAACUGACGCUGAUGCACGAAGGUGUGGGUAUCAAACAGGAUUAGAUACCCUGGUAGUCCACACAGUAAACUAUGAAUACUCGCUGUUUGCGAUAUACAGUAAGCGGCCAAGCGAAAGCAUUAAGUAUUCCACCUGGGGAGUACGCCGGCAACGGUGAAACUCAAAUGAAUUGACGGGG
rnacentral:rRNA from 1 species